UUUACUGUUCCCACCUUACUUUUCCACCCAUAUCAAAAUUCUUACGGUCCAAAGACCCAUUUUGUUUCUCCGCAAAAUGAAAUCCCCACAGAGAGCCUCCUUUCACAAAUCCCUUCUAUACCACCAUUAGUAGACUACAUUCAACCAACGUUCUUUAACCAACAAGCUUCGAUUUUUUUUGUAUUUUGGUGCUCUGUCGACUGCUUUCCCCUUUUACAGUGAUUACUUCAAGGUUGUGAGGAACCAUUUUUUGAGGGAGCACUUCCAGUUGUUCAACGAUAUACUAUUGUUGUUGAUGUUGGCUGAUGUUGUUGCUGUGCUCGAUGGUUGCCGGACUUAAA